rnacentral:rRNA from 1 species
GAUGAACGCUGGCGGCGUGCCUAAUACAUGCAAGUCGAGCGAACAGACGAGGAGCUUGCUCCUCUGACGUUAGCGGCGGACGGGUGAGUAACACGUGGAUAACCUACCUAUAAGACUGGGAUAACUUCGGGAAACCGGAGCUAAUACCGGAUAAUAUAUUGAACCUCAUGGUUCAAUAGUGAAGGACGGUUUUGCUGUCACUGAUAGAUGGAUCCGCGCCGCAUUAGCUAGUUGGUAAGGUAACGGCUUACCAAGGCAACGAUGCGUAGCCGACCUGAGAGGGUGAUCGGCCACACUGGAACUGAGACACGGUCCAGACGCCUACGGGAGGCAGCAGUAGGGAAUCUUCCGCAAUGGGCGAAAGCUUGACGGAGCAACGCCGCGUGAGUGAUGAAGGUCUUCGGAUCGUAAAGCUCUGUUAUUAGGGAAGAACAAAUGUGUAAGUAACUAUGCACGUCUUGACGGUACCUAAUCAGAAAGCCACGGCUAACUACGUG